UAUUUUGAUAGAAUAGAUAAUGUAUAACAAUACUCUUAUUA
rnacentral:tRNA from 1 species